CUGAGGCCUAAAGGGGCCCGACAGCGUGCUCGGUGUCGCCAAGAAAGACCGCUCACGGCCUCCAGUAACCUGAGCCGCCCGCAGCCUGAUUGCCAGGCAUAGUGACUGGCAAUGUUGGAGAGUCUGCCUGGACCAUCAGUCUGGUGCCUGAGGGAUGAGCAGAGGCCCCUGGUGAUCCAUGGUGGGUGUGCAGCAUGAGCAAGAAAUAAACUGUUGUUGUUGUUUUCAGCAUGGAGAUUGAGGGGCUGUUUGUUACUGCAGCAAACUCUAUCCUAUCCUGACUGACACACUUUGAAAAUGCCCGUUUCACACCAUUCCGAUGUCAGGAGAAACCUUGCCUCUUUUGUUCACUGCUGGUUCCCAGCACCUAGGCCCAAACCUGGCACUUAGUAAGUCCUCAGUAAAUGUCUGAUGAACGAAUGGCUGCAUAAAAUGGUGCAGUCAGUAACAGCACAGCCUUUCAAAAUAAGGCAGACCCGGACUGGAAACGCAGCUCUGCAGUGUGCCUUUGAGCACAUGACCACAUGUCUGAACCUCCCUUUUGAUCUUCUGUCAAGUGGGGACACUAUGAGACCUGCCUCACGUGGAUGUGCUGUGCAUGGAUCCAGAUCAUACCCACUGUGUUCUCAGCACUGUCCUGGAGCUGGAGAAUGCUCCCAAGCAGGAGCGAUCAUAUCCUCAUUAAUGUGAGUAAAGUGGCCCAGGAAAGCAGUUCUCAGACUCUCUCCAGGUGCGUGUUACAACGCCUGCUCCAGGGCCCGAUCCUGGAGAGUCUGGUUCAGUGGAUCUGGCCCGGAGCCAGCACUCUGCCCUUUGGACCAGCCUCCUGCGAUCAGAUGCAGUGGCCACUCUGAGAAAGCGGCCUGGGUGUUUGCAGAGGAGGCUGAUGGACCGCAGCUCGGGGAAGGUGGAAGGCCUCGCCUGCCUGUAUUUAAUUGGGCAUCUGAUAGGAGCGCUCGUGAUUCUCUCAUGGCAAUAAUACUAAAAACAGACGGUGUGAAGCACUUUCCACGCACCACGCUCUCUGCCAAAGUGGCUCCAGGUCUCAGCUCAGAGCAACCCAAGAGGACGAUGUCACCAUCCCCAUUUUACAGCUGAGGAAACUGAAGCUCAGAGAGGGGCAGGACUUACCCAGUGGCACCCAGCCAGGGAGCGACGGAGCCUCUGGGGACCUGGGUCUUGCAUACUGUGAUGUAACGAGUGACCCCACCUGUAAAUGGUGUGGCUGUGGCUGAGGAAGCCUCACGUCAAAACUUGCAGGGAUCUGCAGAACAGAGGAGCUUCACAGAUGAAGUGCGGGGCAGUUCAAGCACCUCAAUCCAGACACUGAUAAUUACUGGAAAAAUUUUAUUGAGGUAUAAUAAAACAC
rnacentral:lncRNA from 1 species